CCCAUCUUAAGCUCCUUAUCUGAUCGAACUAAAACUUAUUUUGCAUCUCCUGUCACAUGGUGAGGCCAAAAACAAUAUCCACAUCUAUGUAACAAACAAAAAACUGAUCAAAUAGAACAAAAGGGAACCAAUCACCAAACCAGAACCGCUUUUCCUUCAAAAAUGGUGAAGAACCACACAAAGAUCCAUCUGAAAUGGAAGUGCAUAAACAAUAAGCAAGGGGAAAGCCCAGGAAGAAGACAAUGACAGUAGAAAAAUAUUAUACUCCCUCUACAAUGCUUCACGUCCAACAACCAGACCAAGAUAGCCCCACCUUAAGCUCCGACUUUGGUAGAAUCAAAACUUAUUUUGUAUCUCCUGUCAAAGGGUGGGACCAAAAACAAUAUACACAUGUACGUAACAAACAAAAAAUAGAUUAAACAGAGCAAAAGGGAACCAAGCACCAAACCAGAACCGCCUUCCCACGAGAACUGGUUAAUUAGAACCCAAAGAUCAAACAUUUGAAGAUUAAAGAGCAUAACAAUAAGCAAAGGGAAAAAGUUCACCUAGAAGAUAAAUCACAAUAGAAAAAUAAUAUACUCCUGUUGACACCCACCAUAAACACUAUACCAAUGGCAGCAUCCAAGAUUGGUCCAUAUCCAAAUAACCAGACCAAGAUAGCCUCACCUUAAAUACCUAACUUUGAUGGAAUCAAAACCAAUUUUGUAUCUCCUGACACAGGGUGAGGCAGAAAACAAGGUCCAAGUCUACGUAACAAAAUAAAACUAUAAUAGAGAGCAAAGAUAACCAAGGAUCAAACCAGAACAGUCUUCCACAGAAGCCUGAUUAAGAAACACACAACGAUCCGGCAUCUGGAAAUUGAAAAGAAUAACGAUAAGCAAGGGAAAGUUUAGGUAGAAUAUAAAAUUUAGUAAAAAAGUUACAAUACUAUACUCCCUAUGCAACCCUUGAUAAACACUAUAUCAAUGACAGCGUCAAAGGUUGCUCCGUGUCCAACAAUCAGACCAAGAUUGCACCACCAUAAGCUCCUACUUUGAUAGAAUCAAAACUUAAUUUAUAUUUUGUGUCAUAGGGUGAUGCAGAAAACAAUAUCCACGCCAACGUAACAAACAAAAAACUGAUGAAAGAGAAAAAAGAUAACAAAGCAUCAAACCGAACAGCCUUCCAAUUAAGAACCACAACGAUCAGAAAUCUGAAAAUUGAAGAGUAUAACGACAAGCACCGGAAACUCUAGGUAGAAGAGAAAAUAUAGUAGAAGAAAAUGUAGUAUAACAAUCUGCAUCCCUCAAUAAACAUUAUAUCAAUUGACAUCUUAUAUUAGUCCGCAUCCAACAACCCCACCAAGUUGGCCCCCACCUUAAGCUCCCACUUUGAUAGAAUAAAACUGAAUUUGUAUCUCCUGUCACAGGGUGAGGGCGAAAAAAAUAUCAAAGUCUACGUAACAAAAAAAAAAAAACUAUAAUAGAGAACACAGACAACCAAGCGUCAAACAAGAACUGCCUUUCAGAGAAGCUUGAUUAAGAACAAAACAGCAACCAAAGAUUUGUCCAUGUCCAAAAACCAGACCAAGAUAGCCCCCACCUUAAGCUCCUACUUUGAUAGAAUCAAAACCUAUUUUGUAUCUCCUGUCACAGGGUGAGGCUGAAAACAACAUCCAAGUCUACAUAACAGCAAAAGAACUAUAAUUGAGAGAGCAAAGAUAACCAAUUAUCAAACCCGAACUGCCUUCCAGUUAAACUUGAUUAAGAACCACAUAAUGAACAGGCAUCUGGAAAUGGAAGAGAGACUAACAAUAACCACAGGAAAGUCUAGAUGGAAGAUAAAUUGUAGUAGAAAAAAAUACUAUAUUAUACUCCCUCUGCCAUCCUCGAUAAACACUAUAAUUGACAGCGUCAAAGGUUGAUCUGUGGCCAAUAUAACUAAACCAAGAUUAGCCCCACCUUGAGCUCCUACUUUGAUAAAAUCAAAACAAAAUUUUUAUCAUCUGCCAUAGGAUGAGGCAGAAAUACAAUAUACACGUAUACGUAACAAACAAAAAAACUGAUGAUAGAGAGAAAAGAUAAACCCAGCAUCAAACCAGAAGUGCCUUCAAGUAAAGAACACCUGGAAAUUGAAGAGUAUAACGAUAAGUAUAGGAAACUCAAGGUAAAAGAGAAAACGUAAAAAAAAAAAAAAUAACUAUACUGUACACCAUCUGCCACCCUCGACAAACACUAUAUCAAUGAUGGCAUCAUAGAUUAGUCCAUAUCCAAAAACCAGACCAAGAUAACCCCCACCUUAAGCUUCAACUUUGAUAGAAUCAAAACCUAUUUUGUCUCCUGGCACAGGGUGAGGACCAAAACAUUGUCCAAGUCUACAUAACAAAUAAACAAUAAUUACAGAGCAAAGGUGACCAAUUAGCAAACCAGAACAGCCUUCCCGUGAAGCUUGAUUAAAAACCACACAGCGAUCAGGCAUCUGGAAAUUGAUGAGAACAACGGUAAGCAUGGGAAAGUCUAGGUAGAAGAUAAAAGAUAGUAAAAAAAAAAAAAACUAUUCUAUACUCUCUUUGCCAGGCCCACACCACUAUAUCAAUGACAGCAUCAAAGGUAGAUCCGUGUUCAAUAACCAGGCCAACAUUAGCCACACCAUAAGCUCCUUCUUUCAAAACUUAAUUUUUAUCUCCUAUCAUAGGGUGAGGCAGAGAACAAUAUCCACGUCUACAUAACAACAAAAAAUUGUUGAAACUGACAAAAGAUAACCAAGAAAACAAGAAGUGCCAUCCAUUAUGGAAAUUGAAGAGUAUAACUAUAAACACGGGAAACUCUAGGUAGAAGAGAAAAUGUAGUAGAAAAAAAAAAUACUAUUAUGUAUUUCCUUUGCGACCCUCGAUUUACAAUAUACCAAUGAUAACAUCAAAGAUCUGUCCGCGUCCAAAAACCAGACCAAGAUAGCCCCCACAUUAAGCUCCUACAGUGAUGGAAUCAAAACCUAUUUUGUAUCUCCUGUCACAGGGUAGGCCCAAAACAAUAUCCAAGUCUAUAUAACAACAAAAGAAAUAUAAUAGAGAGAUCAAAUGCAACCAAUUAUGAACCCAGAACUGCCUUCCAGUUAAGCUUGAUUAAGAACCACACAACGAUCAGGCAUCUGGAAAUUGAAGAGAAUAACAAUAAGCACGGGAAAGUCAAGAUGGAAGAUAAAUUGUAGCAGAAUUAAUACAAUACUAUACUCCCUCUGACACCCUCGAUAAACAUUAUAUCAGUGACAGCAUCAAAAGUUGAUAUGUCUCCAAUAACUAGACCAAGAUUAGCCCCACCAUAAGCUGCUUCUUUCACAACUUAAUUUUUAACCCCUGUCACAAGGUGAGGCAGAAAACAAUAUCCACGUCUACGUAACAAAUAAAAGAUUGUUGAAACUGACAAAAGAUAACCAAGCAUACCAGAAGUGCCUUCCAGUUAAGAACCACACAACAAUCAGACAUCUGGAAAUUGAAGAGUAUAACUAUUAGCACGGGAAACUCUAGGUAGAAGAGAAAAUGUAGUAGAAAAAAAAUACUAUUAUGUACUCCAUGUACUCCCUUUACCACCCACAUUAAACUAUAUCAAUGACAGCAUGAAGGAUUUGUCAGUGUACCAAAAACCAGACCAAGACACGCCCCCACCUUAAGCUCCUACUUUGAUAGAAUCAGAACCUAUUUUGUAUCUCCUAUCACAGGGUGAGGCUGAAACCAACAUCGAGUCUAAAUAACAACAAAAGAACUACAAUAGAGAGAGCAAAGGUAACCAACUAUCAAACCCGAACUGCCGUCCAGUAAGCUUGAUUAAGAACCACACAACGAUCGGGCAUCUGGAAAUGGAAGAGAAUAACGAUAAGCACCGGAAGGUCUAGAUGGAAGAUAAAUUGUAUUAGAAGAAAUACUAUACUAACUCCCUCUGCCACCCUCGAAAAACAUAUCAUGACCAUCAAAGGAUUGAUUGUGUGCAAUAACUGACUAAGAUUAGCCCUACCUUAAGCCCUACUUUGAUAAAAUUAAAACUUAAUUUUUAUCUCAUGUCAUAGGGUGGGGCAGAAAACAAUAUCACGUCUAUGUACAAACAAAAAUUGUUGAAAUGACAAAAGAUAACCAAACAUCAAACCAGAAGUGUCAUCCAGUUAAGAACCACCCCACGAUCAGACAUCUGGAAAUUGAAGAGUAUAUCUAUAAGCACGGGAAACUCUAGGUAGAAGAGAAAAUGUAUAGAAAUAAAAAUACUAUUAUGUACUCCCUUUGCCACCCUCGAUUAACACAAUAUCAAUGACUCAUCAAAGAUCUGUCCGCGUCCAAAAACCAGACCAAGAUAGCCCCCACAUUAAGCUCCUACAGUGAUGGAAUCAAAACCUAUUUUGUAUCUCCUGUCACAGGGUAGGCCCAAAACAAUAUCCAAGUCUAUAUAACAACAAAAGAAUAUAAUAGAGAGAUCAAAUGCAACCAAUUAUGAACCCAGAACUGCCUUCCAGUUAAGCUUGAUUAAGAACCAAACAACGAUCAGGCAUCUGGAAAUCGAAGAGAAUAACAAUAAGCACGGGAAAGUCAAGAUGGAAGAUAAAUUGUAGCAGAAUUAAUACAAUACUAUACUCCCUCUGACACCCUCGAUAAACAUUAUAUCAGUGACAGCAUCAAAAGUUGAUGUCUCCAGUAACUAGACCAAGAUUAGCCCCACCAUAAGCUGCUUCUUUCACAACUUAAUUUUUAACUCCUGUCACAAGGUGAGGCAGAAAACAAUAUCCACGUCUACGUAACAAAUAAAAGAUUGUUGAAACUGACAAAAGAUAACCAAGCAUACCAGAAGUGCCUUCCAGUUAAGAACCACACAACAAUCAGACAUCUGGAAAUUGAAGAGUAUAACUAUUAGCACGGGAAACUCUAGGUAGAAGAGAAAAUGUAGGUAGAAAAAAAAUACUAUUAGUACUCCCUUUACCACCCACUAUUAACACUAUAUCAAUGACAGCAUGAAGGAUUUGUCAGUGUCCAAAAACCAGACCAAGACAGCCCCCACCUUAAGCUCCUACUUGAUAGAAUCAGAACCUAUUUUGUAUCUCCUAUCACAGGGUGAGGCUGAAACCAACAUCCGAGUCUAAAUAACAACAAAAGAACUACAAUAGAGAGAGCAAAGGUAACCAACUAUCAAACCCGAACUGCCGUCCAGUUAAGCUUGAUUAAGAACCACACAACGAUCGGGCAUCUGGAAAUGAAGAGAAUAACGAUAAGCACCGGAAGGUCUAGAUGGAAGAUAAAUUGUAUAGAAGAAAUACUAUACUAUACUCCCUCUGCCACCCUCGAUAAACACACUAUAUAGUGACCACGUCAAAGGAUUGACUUGUGUGCAAUAACUUGACUAAGAUUAGCCCUACCUUAAGCUCCUACUUGAUAAAAUUAAAACUUAAUUUUUAUCUCAUGUCAUAGGGUGGGGCAGAAAACAAUAUCCACGUCUAUGUAGCAAACAAAAUUGUUGAACUGACAAAAGAUAACCAAACAUCAAACAGAAGUGUCUCCAGUUAAGAACCACCCCACGAUCAGACAUCUGGAAAUUGAAGAGUAUAUCUAUAAGCACGGGAAACUCGAGGUAGAAGAGAAAAUGUAGUAGAAUAAAAAUACUAUUAUGUACUCCCUUUGCCACCCUCGAUUAACACAAUAUCAAUGACUACAUCAAAGAUCUGUCGCGUCCAAAAACCAGACCAAGAUAGCCCCCACAUUAAGCUCCUACAGUGAUGGAAUCAAAACCUAUUUUGUAUCUCCUGUCACAGGGUAGGCUCAAAACAAUAUCCAAGUCUAUAUAACAACAAAAGAAAUAUAAUAGAGAGAUCAAAUGCAACCAAUUAUGAACCCAGAACUGCCUUCCAGUUAAGCUUGAUUAAGAACCAAACAACGAUCAGGCAUCUGGAAAUCGAAGAGAAUAACAAUAAGCACGGGAAAGUCAAGAUGGAAGAUAAAUUGUAGCAGAAUUAAUACAAUACUAUACUCCCUCUGACACCCUCGAUAAACAUUAUAUCAGUGACAGCAUCAAAAGUUGAUAGUCUCCAUAACUAGACCAAGAUUAGCCCCACCAUAAGUGCUUCUUUCACAACUUAAUUUUUAACCCCUGUCACAAGGUGAGGCAGAAAACAAUAUCCACGUCUACGUAACAAAUAAAAGAUUGUUGAAACUGACAAAAGAUAACCAAGCAUACCAGAAGUGCCUUCCAGUUAAGAACCACACAACAUCAGACAUCUGGAAAUUGAAGAGUAUAUCUAUAGCACGGGAAAUUCUAGGUAGAAGAGAAAAUGUAGUAGAAAAAAAAUACUAUUAUGUACUCCCUUUCCACCCCGAUUAAACAUAUCAAUGACCAUAAGAUUGUCGGUCCAAAAACCAGACCAAGACAGCCCCCACCUUAAGCUCCUACUUUGAUAGAAUCAGAACCUAUUUUGUAUCUCCUAUCACAGGGUGAGGCUGAAACCAACAUCGAGUCUAAAUAACAACAAAAGAACUACAAUAGAGAAAGCAAAGGUAACCAACUAUCAAACCCGAACUGCCGUCCAGUUAAGCUUGAUUAAGAACCACACAACGAUCGGGCAUCUGGAAAUGGAAGAGAAUAACGAUAAGCACCGGAAGGUCUAGAUGGAAGAUAAAUUGUAUUAGAAGAAAUACUAUCUAUACUCCCUCUGCCACCCUCGAUAAACACACUAUAUCAGUGACCACGUCAAAGGAUUGACUUGUGUGCAAUAACUUGACUAAGAUUAGCCCUACUUAAGCUCCUACUUUGAUAAAAUUAAAACUUAAUUUUUAUCUCAUGUCAUAGGGUGGGGCAGAAAACAAUAUCCACGUCUAUGUACAAACAAAAUUGUUGAAAUGACAAAAGAUAACCAAACAUCAAACCAGAAG
rnacentral:lncRNA from 1 species